rnacentral:rRNA from 1 species
CCUACGGGUCGCAGCAGUGAGGAAUAUUGGACAAUGGGCGGGAGCCUGAUCCAGCCAUGCCGCGUGCAGGAAGACUGCCCUAUGGGUUGUAAACUGCUUUUAUACGGGAAGAAACACUCCCUCGUGAGGGAAUUUGACGGUACCGUAAGAAUAAGGAUCGGCUAACUCCGUGCCAGCAGCCGCGGUAAUACGGAGGAUCCAAGCGUUAUCCGGAAUCAUUGGAUUUAAAGGGUCCGUAGGUGAACGAUUAAGUCAGAGGUGAAAUCUUGCAGCUCAACUGUAAAAUUGCCUUUGAUACUGGUUGUCUUGAGUUAUUAUGAAGUGGCUAGAAUAUGUAGUGUAGCGGUGAGAUGCAUAGAUAUUACAUAGAAUACCAAUUGCGAAGGCAGAUCACUAAUAAUAUACUGACACUGAUGGACGAAAGCGUGGGUAGCGAACAGGAUUAGAUACCCGGGUAGUC